GCCAAGGUGGUUUAGUGGCUAAAGCACCUGCCUAGUGAGCAGGAGACCCGGGUUCGAUUCCCAGCCUUGGUA